GUAGGGGACAAGCGUUAUCCGGAUUUACUGGGCGUAAAGCGCCCGUAGGCGGCUCAACAAGUUGGACGUGAAAGCUCCCGGCUUAACUGGGAGAGGCCGUUCAAAACUGUAGAGCUAGAGUGAGGCAGAGGAGCGCGGAAUUCCCGGUGUAGUGGUGGAAUGCGUAGAUAUCGGGAGGAACACCAGUGGCGAAAGCGGCGCUCUGGGUCUAAACUGACGCUGAGGGGCGAAAGCGUGGGGAGCGAACGGGAUUAGAUACCCCGGUAGUCCACGCCGUAAACGAUGGAGACUAGGUGUAGGUGGAUAGAACCCCAUCUGUGCCGAAGCCAACGCGUUAAGUCUCCCGCCUGGGGAGUACGGCCGCAAGGUUAAA
rnacentral:rRNA from 1 species